rnacentral:rRNA from 1 species
UACAGCCUUGCUGAAUUAUUCACCCUUGUCUUUUGCGUACUUCUUGUUUCCUUGGUGGGUUCGCCCACCACUAGGACAAACAUAAACCUUUUGUAAUUGCAAUCAGCGUCAGUAACAAAUUAAUAAUUACAACUUUCAACAACGGAUCUCUUGGUUCUGGCAUCGAUGAAGAACGCAGCGAAAUGCGAUAAGUAGUGUGAAUUGCAGAAUUCAGUGAAUCAUCGAAUCUUUGAACGCACAUUGCGCCCUUUGGUAUUCCAAAGGGCAUGCCUGUUCGAGCGUCAUUUGUACCCUCAAGCUUUGCUUGGUGUUGGGCGUCUUGUCUCUAGCUUUGCUGGAGACUCGCCUUAAAGUAAUUGGCAGCCGGCCUACUGGUUUCGGAGCGCAGCACAAGUCGCACUCUCUAUCAGCAAAGGUCUAGCAUCCAUUAAGCCUUUUUUUCAACUUUUGACCUCGGAUCAGGUAGGGAUACCCGCUGAACUUAAGCAUAUCAAA